rnacentral:rRNA from 1 species
CCUACGGGAGGCAGCAGUGAGGAAUAUUGGUCAAUGGGCGCGAGCCUGAACCAGCCAAGUAGCGUGAAGGAUGACUGCCCUACGGGUUGUAAACUUCUUUUAUAAAGGAAUAAAGUGAGGCACGUGUGCCUCUUUGUAUGUACUUUAUGAAUAAGGAUCGGCUAACUCCGUGCCAGCAGCCGCGGUAAUACGGAGGAUGCGAGCGUUAUCCGGAUUUAUUGGGUUUAAAGGGUGCGUAGGCGGACUGUCAAGUCAGUGGUAAAAAUGCGGUGCUCAACCGCGUACUGCAGUUGAAACUGGCAGUCUUGAGUGCGCGUGAAGUAUGCGGAAUGCGUGGUGUAGCGGUGAAAUGCUUAGAUAUGACGAAGAACUCCGAUUGCGAAGGCAGCUUACCGGAGCGCGACUGACGCUGAUGCUCGAAAGCGUGGGUAUCGAACAGGAUUAGAUACCCCAGUAGUC